rnacentral:rRNA from 1 species
GAUGAACGCUGGCGGCGUGCCUAAUACAUGCAAGUCGAGCGAACAGACGAGGAGCUUGCUCCUCUGACGUUAGCGGCGGACGGGUGAGUAACACGUGGAUAACCUACCUAUAAGACUGGGAUAACUUCGGGAAACCGGAGCUAAUACCGUAUAAUAUAUUGAACCGCAUGGUUCAAUAGUUAAAGACGGUUUUGCUGUCACUUAUAGAUGGAUCCGCGCCGCAUUAGCUAGUUGGUAAGGUAACGGCUUACCAAGGCAACGAUGCGUAGCCGACCUGAGAGGGUGAUCGGCCACACUGGAACUGAGACACGGUCCAGACUCCUACGGGAGGCAGCAGUAGGGAAUCUUCCGCAAUGGGCGAAAGCUUGACGGAGCAACGCCGCGUGAGUGAUGAAGGUCUUCGGAUCGUAAAACUCUGUUAUUAGGGAAGAACAAAUGUGUAAGUAACUAUGCACGUCUUGACGGUACCUAAUCAGAAAGCCACGGCUAACUACGUG